UUAAACAAUCCUCAGGUUUUCAAUCACAUCACAACAUCACAACCAGUCAAUAUACUCAAGCUUUAUACAAGAGAAAGAGGUUUCUUACAGCCAAGGAACUAGUGUCAUGGCAAGACAGUGAGCUGUUGGUGUCAACUCCAACUUCUCCUUCUCCCAUGGACCUUUCUCUUGCACUCUCCAUGUCAAAGACCACACCUUUCUUCAUGUUGAAUUCGCCACACCAGUACCAGCUGAAAGCUGUCACCUUACCCAUUGCUUCCAAGGUUCUUUCUUCUUCAUGGGCUUCAUGAGAGAGUGUAGAUCAGCCAGAGACAGCUUCUGGACACCAUGGAUGAGCACACCUUCUUCUUGAAGAGUUGAACAGCCGGCUGGACCAUGGAGCUUCUUCUUGGCUUCAAGCGACAUGGAGGAGAGCUAUGAGCUUCAGCGGAAGCAAGAACAAAGUUCAGAUGAACCUGUCAUUUGAGGUGUUGAACAAGAGCAAACCUGUCAUUGAUCAUCUACGUGUCUUUGGGUGUGUGUGUUAUGUCAUGGUUCCUGGAGAGCAGAGAAACAAGCUGGAGGCAAAGAGUACUAAGGCUAUGUUCAUUGGUUACUCUAUCACUCAGAAGGGUACAAGUGCUAUGAUCCUGAAGCAAGGAGAGUGAUGGUAUCUAGAGAAGUGAAGUUUGUUGAAACAAAAGGUUAUUAUGAAGAAAAGGAGUGGGAAAAUCUGAAGGAUUUGUCUCAAGCUCCAACUGAUAAGGCAACAAUACUGAGAGUGUUGUUAGAGAAGCUUGGGAUAGGAUUAUCCCAGGAUCAGGAAACCGGAAGGAGAGAGUCUUCCAAUCAGAGUGGUGGAGCUGGAAGAACAACUCCUCUUGAUCAUGAGAGGGGGAAUGAAACUGAAUCUGGUGAGCAAGAGCAAAACCAAGAGGAUUCAGGUCUUCAUGAUCAAGAUACAUCACAAGAAGUUGAGAACAAUGAGGUUCAGUCUAGUGGAGAAGUGGAUGAGGUUCAGUCUAGUGUAGAAGAACAAGUCAGACCGGCCAGUUCAGAAGAAGAGCAAGUGGAGCCGGCUAGUGUGCAAACUGAAGAUUAGGUUCAAGCUUUGAGGAGGAGCACAAGGAUAAAGAGGGAUCCUUCCAACUGGGUAAACACGAGAGUGUACUACAAUGCCCAGGCUGUGGAGCAUCCUUGUCAAGCCGUGUGUUCCUUUGCUGAGUUUCCAGAGGAGCAUUAUGCCUUUAUGAUUAGUCUGGAUGAGAGUUAUGUACCAAGGACUUAUGAAGAAGCUAUGUUAGACAAGGAAUGGAAAGAAUCAGUGGGAGCUGAAGCAGGUGCUAUGAUAAAAAAUGAUACAUGGUAUGAGAGUGAGCUGCCUAAGGGAAAGAAGGCUGUAUCUAGUAGAUGGAUAAGCUGAAGCAGGUGCUAUGAUCAAAAAUGAUACAUGGUAUGAGAGUGAGCUGCCUAAGGGAAAGAGGGCUGUAUCUAGUAGAUGGAUCUUCACAAUCAAGUAUCUAGCAAAUGGACAGAUUGAUAGGAAGAAGACCAGAUUGGUUGCAAGAGGGUUUACACAAACCUAUGGAGAGGAUUCAUUGAUACCUUUGCACAAGUAGCUAAGCUACAUACAGUUCGGAUUGUGUUGUCCAUUGCAACAAACUUGGAGUGGGAUUUGUGGCAGAUGGAUGUGAAGAAUGCUUUCUUACAAGGUGAGCUAGAAGAUGAGGUAUACAUGCUUCCUCCUCCUGGUCUUGAGCAUCUAGUAAAGCCAGGGAAUGUUUUGAGAUUGAAGAAGGCAAUAUAUGGGCUGAAACAAUCACCUAGAGCUUGGUACAGGAAGCUGAGUACAACACUCAAUGGGAGAGGCUUUAGGAAGUCUGAAUUAGAUCACACUCUCUUCACCUUGACAGGACCUUCAGGGAUCAUUGUGAUUCUAGUGUAUGUGGAUGAUUUGAUUAUCACAGGGAGUGAUAAGGCAGGGAUUCGAGCUACUAAGGAGUUUCUCAAAUCUGUGUUUGACAUCAAGGAUUUGGGAGAGAUGAAGUAUUUUCUGGGCAUUGAGAUAUGCAGAUCAAAGGAGGGUUUGUUUAUGUCUCAAAGGAAGUAUACUAUGGAUAUGUUGAAGGAGACUGAUGUGCUUGGAGGAAAGAUAGCUAAGACACCCCUCGAGGAGGGAUAUAAGGUUCUGCGUGAGGGGGAGGUUGAAGAGAAGCAGCUGUUUGAGGACCCUAAGCUAUACAGGAAGAUGGUUGGCAAGCUGAUCUACUUGACAAUUACUAGGCCAGAUAUAUGCUUCGCUGUGAAUCAAGUGAGUCAACAUAUGCAGGCGCCAAAGGUCCAUCAUUGGAAGAUGGUUGAUAGGAUACUGAGGUAUUUAAGUGGGACGGCUGGACAAGGAGUUUGGAUGGGCUGCAAUGGCAGUACAGAAGUGGUUGGUUAUUGUGAUGCUGAUUGGGCAGGAGAUAGAGUGGACAGGAGAUCAACUACUGGGUAUUGUACAUUCAUUGGAGGGAACUUGGUAACUUGGAAGAGUAAGAAGCAGAAGGUUAUCUCCUAUUCAAGUGCUGAAGCUGAGUAUAGAGCCAUGUUGAAGCUGACAAACGAGUUGGUGUGGAUCAAGGGGAUCUUGAAGCAUCUAGAGAUUGAGCAGAGUACUCCUGUGACUAUGCAUUGUGACAAUCAAGCAGCUAUCCACAUUGCCUCUAACUCAGUGUUUCAUGAGAGAACAAAGCACAUAGAGGUGGAUUGUCAUAAGGUGAGGCAGAUGAUAAUCUUAGGAGUGAUUCUGCCAUGUUAUACAAGAAGUGAAGAUCAGCUUGCAGAUGUGUUUACUAAGGCAGCGAGAUUGAAGACAAUGGAGUCCAUACUAUCAAGGCUUGGACUCCUUGAUCUUACUCCCAGGAGCUGAGCCCCUUAGCCAUGGAGUCUCCACUCUUUUUCCCUCAUCAAAGUUUUAUCCCAAUGGGUUUUCUUUGGUGAGGUUUUUAAUGAGGGAGGUCUUCAUGGUUUCCAAGCUUGACUUGUUCCACAUGGUCAAGCUUGAGGGGGAGUGUUGAGAUGAGAGAAUAAAGAUUUGAUAUAUUGAGAGAGGAAGAGAUUUGGAGCAGACAGUAACUUUGGAGAGUUACCACAGUAACUUUAUUGUUAUAAAGUUACUGUGGUAACUAAAGAAAUUACCAUAGUAACCAGGGUAACUCGGAUGGCAAGGAGAAGUUACCUUAGGUUGUCUACACUUGAUCUGAGUAUGGGAAGGGAUAAGAGAGGAGACUUGGACAGGCUGUCACUGGCUGGAAAGGAGAAGAGUGCUUUAGCACUAUUAGAAGCAUGUGAGCAAUCUCAGCCAUGGGAUUUACAGCCUGGCCUUUGACUACACAUGCUUAUCUUAUCCCCUUAGAUUGAUUUCGAAAAUGCUUCUUCCUUUUGUAUAUAUCUGAUGUAAACUCUCUCAUAAUUAAUCUAAUGGAGUUUUGAGUCUCUCUCUCUUGUUCUUAUUCUCUCUAGAACUCUUAAUCUCCUAAACAUUAUACAAAUCACUCAGAUUAAUUAUUAAACACACUACAAACACAAAAGUGUUUAGUAUCAUUCUUGAUCAUAGCUCCUGCCUCAGCUCCAACUGACUCCUUCCAUUCUUUAUCCAUGAUUGCUUCUUCAUAGCUUCUUGGAAUGUAGUUCUCAUCCAAGUUAACCCUGAAGGCACAAUGUUCUUCAGGGUAUUGAGCAAAGGAACACACAACUUGAGAAGGAUCUCCACAGCUUGGGCAUUGUAGUACACUCGCGUGUUUACCCAAGAGGAAGGAUCCUUUCUCAGCCUUGUGCUUCUCCUUAAUACUGGUUGUUCUUGCUCUUGAACCGGCUCAGCUUGUGUAUGCGGUUCUUGUGCUUCACUCUGAUGUUCUUCAUCUCCUUGGUCUUGCUCACCUUGAUGAUGAGAACCUGAGUUGAACUCUUCUCCUUCUUCACUCAAGCUGACUCCUUCUUGGCCAUUUUCUUGAGUUUCAGGUUCACUUCCCCCCUCAUGAUCAAGGUGAGGUGUUUGAGUAGCUCUACUUGGUUCAGUGGAGCUCUCUUCUUGUCUUCCACUUCUUGUGGACUGAUCCUGGUUCAUCUUGAUACCGAGACCUUCCAAAAUAAUCCUUAAGACUCCAGCCUUAUCUGAUGUGAGGUCCCUCAACUCUUCUUGAUUCUUCUCUUCAUAGUACCCUCUUUCUUCAAUAAACUUCACAUCUCUAGAUACAAGUACCCUUCUAGCUUCUGGAUCAUAACACUGUUGAACUGAAGAGAAGAAUGGAGCUUGUGCAUAAAUAGGGCAAGCUCUUGAAGAUCUUGAGAAGAGUUCUAUAAAGCUGCAGAAAGUGAUGAGAAGCUGAUACAAGGUUGGGACAAUGGCUAAGAAGAGUUCAGAUAGAAGUGGAGUAGCCUUUGGAUGAGUUUAGGAGAGAAAGGUUGAUGGUGCAAAGAUAGGGACGGCCAUGUACGGCCGGCUGUACGGAUGGUACGGCCCGGUAAGGACAUGGUCGAUCCAAAAGAGUUUCUAUCAAGUCUUGGGAUGUUUUGGAGUUGUGGAAAGAUAGGGCGCAAUGUGAGAAAAGCAACCCUAAUCUGUACACUCAGCUGAUGAAGACUUGUGAUGCAAGGCAUGAAGAAGGCUUAGGGAACAAACGGAAAAGAGAGCAAUGAUCCUAAAGGCAUAGACUAUCCGAGAUGCUUUAGGAAGUAACCAGGAAGGUGUUGUGCUCUCUUGACCGUUUAUGGAUAAGGUUUCUUAUCCAUACAGCCUAUUCAAAUUCAAAUGUGCAAGCUGGCGUGAGCUGUAAAGUAAAGGCAAAGAAGAGAUCAUGUAUCUGGCCAAAGGAGAGGGAAGAUACAUGGAGCUUUAAGUAAAGCAAUCAGGCGCCAGCAAGGGAGAACCAAUCACCAUUCAGCCAGCCUUGACCAGUUCCAAAGAUACAUCCAAGCCAUUCAUUUCCCAAAGUGCUUUAGAGCCAUCAGAUUUAGGUUUAUGAGUUUCAGAUUGUGAAAGCUUAUAUAAACUGAUGUAUGGACGUUUUGUAAUCUCUUAAGUGAGUAAGGGGGGAAACCCUUCUCCUUCAUGUUCUAUGAAAGUCUGUUCUUGAUACUAAGUCUCUAAUCUAUUUUCUAAGUCUCUCAGUCUCUUUAAUCUUGUUACCUAGUCUCUUUCAUACUCUAAAUCUCUCCCCAUACUCCUAAGUCUCAAAUCUGUUCACAUAAACUCUCCUAAACACUUUCUCACACACACCUUGAGUGAAUCCUUAUAAAAAUCUCAUGGUAUCAGAGCCAGGUUCAUCAGAACCUGGUAUCUAACUUCCGCAAAGCUCAAGCCCACUUCCAUGGCUGUUUGAAGCAAAGAAGAAGCUCUUUGGUCCAGCCAACGUUUGUUCAUCUUCAGGAGGAAGAUAAACACAUCCGAGGUGCUUGAGAAGCUGUAUGUGCUCUAUCCUGACCUAUCAAGCUCGACCUGAAGAAAGGAGACCCUGAAGAACAAAGCCUUGAAGUGGUUUGACAACACUCUUCAAGAGCUAGAUCCUUGAGUCUUAGUGGUGGUUCAAGAAGAAAGGUGACAGCUUUCUACUUGGGACUGGUUUUGGCGACUUGACAGGGAGGAAAGGAGGUGUCUCAGCCAUGGUGGGUUCAAGAGGAUGGUUCAUGAAAGAAGAAGGGGUGUUAUACGACACCAAGAGCUCAACAUCUGGCCAUGAACCAUGGAGAUUCAAGGAACUAGUAAAAGUUCCUUGGCUGUAAGCUGGAUCUCUUUCCCUCUUUAUUAAAAAGCUUGAGUAUAGAAAUGUUGAGGUGGUGUGGUGAUUGAUAUGCUGUGUAUAUCCCAGGAUGCUUUAAAGGCUUGUUUAGUGUUUUGAAGAAUAAAGUGAUUGCUCUAGUUCAGUCAUGAGUUUGCUAAGAUAUUAAAACUUAUUGUUUGAAUCAUGUGCUCAUGAACUGAAAUUGAUUGAAGUAAUGCUGAGAACUGUGUAGUCCCGGAUAUAAUGAUGCUUGUCAGGAAGUUAGUAGACGUCUAAACCAGAUUGUUUUUCAUGAAAUGAAUCCGCUGGCUGUCUGACAUUGAAGCAUUAGAUUCAUGUCUAAGUGCUGAGUAAAGAAGCUCUUAAGAGUGCCUAAGUAACUUGUCUUGAAUCUGUGUACUUAGAGAGUUAGACUUGUCUUGAAUCUGUUAAGUGCUGAGUAAAGAAGCUCUUAAGAGUGCCUAAGUAACUUGUCUUGAAUCUGUUAGGAUCUUGCUUGUACUUAGAGAGUUAGCUUGCAAAGAAUAGAACUUGAUAAUGCCUUGUGUCUAUCUGUUGCAUUGCUUGUGAUAGUAGGAAUCAAACUUGAUAAGUUAUUAAUCAAGGUUUGACAUUAAUAAGAUUGAAAAUGGUUAAAUGCUUAAUGUCAGUUCUAAAUUAAAAUUGUCUUGUUAAGAUGAUAGAUUAUAUUAUCAUGCUUGCUGUUAUGAGUUAGAAACUGAUUAAGAUUAAUGCAUACUGCCUUGUAUUGUUGCAUUUAGAUUAAAGUCUAAGUUGCAUAUUAAGGAGUGUUUAAAAGUGCCUAAAUACUUUGACUUGAAUCUGAUAAGGUCUUGCUUAGUAUUUAGAGAAUGGUUGCUUGCAUAGAUAAGAACUUGACAUUGUCUUGAUUCUAUCGAAUGCUAUAAAGCUUGAGACAUUGGUGAUCAAACUUGAUGAAGUCAAGGAUUGAUCCCAAUGCAAAUGUGUCUUAUCUUUGCUAGAGUUUGAGUGAUGUUUCAGGUUCACAAAAGGUGUUCCUAGUUCAUCAUCAAAUCCGAGUUGAAAGAGAAAGAAUGAUGCCCAUUGUGUGUACAAUGGAGAGGUGUUACAAGAAGGGAGAAGCACAGAUGGUUGUAAAACUCACUGGUGUUCUUCUUCUUAACAUUGCAAGUACCAGAAGAAGAAGCCAACCGGGUCUAGGCAGUGGCGUGCCUAUUCAAGAGGGUGCUCAAACUAAGAUAGAGCACUCUUGGCUGUGUGAAGAAGAAGGCUACUCUAUCAAGGCGGCUUCUAUUGUGAGGUGAUUGAAGAAGUAGCUGAAGCAUCCACAAGCAUUCCAUCAUGGUGGUGAAUUCAGAAGGGUGAUUGCAAUAAGAGAAGAAGAAGAAGUAAGGAUUCAAGUGGUAACUUUGAGAACCACUCCUUAUCAUCUUAACCAAGGGAGUAAACCUAAUCUCAUCUAUCUUAAUAUGUCUUGAUAGGUUUAUCUCCUGAUUAUACUAUGUGCUUUCCCUAAUUCCAUUAAGAGUUUAUAGCUUCUAGUAGAAUGUCUAGGCUAAUUGCACUGAAAUUGUUUUGCUGCUGCAUUGUCUUAUUGAUAGUAAGUGAUGUCUAGAGUCCCAGAAUCUCACGGUCUGUUUAUUGCAUUGUCUUGGGUGUGAUCAUAAACUUGAAUAAUCAUGAAUGUGUUGUAGAAUUGAGUAGAAUGUCUCUGCUACUUGCAUCAUGAUUGAUAAGUUAUUUUGCAUACAUAAGCAUAUCUCAUACUGUCUAAGGUCAAUCCUAGUGUUAUCUGAUGCUAUUGCCUAUGUUUAAUCCAUCAAUGAAAGUCUUGCAUCAAUUAGAAAUUGUCUAAGUUGCUUGCAUCAUUGGUUCUGAUUGAAACUGUUGUGCAUAGCUUUAAUAUUAAUCAUGGAUUGAACUUGUUGCAUUCAUAUAGCUAAUGAUUUAAGAUUGUGCAUUCAUGUAGUAAUGCAUUUAAAAAUAAGCCUAAAUUUCAAAUGUACUGAUGUAAGCUGUUGAGAUGAGAGAAUAAAGUGUUGAGAUGAAGUGAUGAAGAGUGUUAAGAUGAGUUCAGUAUAAGAGAAGAGAUGACUUGAGGAACUAAGGGAGAUGGAGUUGGGAGAGGAUUGGGCAAGGCCGUACAGAAGCCGUACUAGGCCGUACAGAUUAGGCAAGGUAACUUGACCCCGGUGAACCAAAGUUACUUAGGUAACUUUGUGUGUUGAGAAGAAGCCUUGCUUACCCUUAUCUGAUCAGGCUGUUGCAAAAGGAAGAAGGGAGCGCACAUGACAGCCUGUCCACGGUUGGCAUAAAGCAAAAGGAACCUUAUCCUUAAGGAGGAAGCUUAUUGGAUCAUUUGAAUUAAAGCAAAAGUGUAUCUCUUGUAAUAGUGUAGUUUCCUAAAACCUAGUCUCUAAUGUCGCCUCUCUAUAUAUUGUAAACUCAUGUCAUUAAUCAAGGUAACGAGUUUUGAGUCUCUCUCUCUCUUGUUCUUAAUCUCCAAUCUCUUUAAUUCUCAGAUUAAACUUAAUCACUCUUUAAAUCACAAAAUCUAAUAUGGUAUCAGAGCCAGGUUCAUUUAAAAGGAGAGGGUGAUUUCGUUUUUCCAAAUGUUCUUGAGUGUUCUUGAGUGUUCUUGAGAGUUCUUGAGAUUUUUCAAGGGCUAGAUUCUUUAAAAGUCAAGUUUGUGUCUGUUGUUGUUUCUUUUGGAGAGUUAGAUUCAAGAGAGUCCCUUUAGGUGUUUGACAAGGUCAGAAGAGGGGUCUAGCUUGUGGUUAAGCUUGGCGUGUGAGAUUAGAAGCAUUUGAGGGAAGAUCUAAGCUAAAGAAGAUGGAGCUGCUUCAAUCUGAUACAACAAGGCGUGAAGAGAAGAAAGAGAGAGGGAAUGAGUGGGGGUGGUUCUCACAAAUGAAAACAACUCUGAAAAGUUGUGGAGUCUGGAGAAACCAUGAGAAGGAAGAGUCUUUGAAGGGUAAAGCUACUGAGAAAGAUCAGACAGCAAGAGAAACAAGUGGAAAUUGCUUUAGUCUUGAAGAAAGUACACUGCUUGAAAAGAUUGAAGAUGUUUAUGAGAACAAGAUUAGUCUUAGGAGAGUGUAUGAAGUCAAGAAGGUGAUUAGUGAAGUUAAACCAGGAAGAGAGGGGUUUAAUAACCAUGUGAGGAAGCUGCAACAUUUGUGGGUUGAACUACAAGGGUUGAGAUCCCAUGUGGAUGGGGAUACUACACAAGAGCAAACGACGGUCUUGAAGCUCUUGGCGAGCAUGGAGUCAUCAUAUGGGUGGCUGGUGGAGAUGGUUCUAAGAGGGGAACAGCUUUCGGAAAUGGAAGAGGUCUGUGUGCUUAUAAGAAGGGCGUAUGAGAUAAUGAGAGAUGAUGAGAGGCUAACCAUGAGUAGGAGUGAGAGCUCAUGGAAGCCAACUGGGAGUAGGAGUGAGAGCUUCCAGAAGCUAACCAUGAGUAGGAGUGAGAGCUCAUGGAGGCUAACCGGGAGUAGGAGUGAGGGCUUCCGGAAGAAGAGAAGGUGCAGAAUGCUAUCCAAAGCUUCUAUCAACAUAGGAAAAGGUAGGAAGAGAGUUGUGGGAGAGUGUUCUUACUCAGCCUACAUGGGGGAAUCAGUAGAAGACAGUGGGGUGUUAAAAGAGCAGGAGAAAGGGAGUGGAGCUGAUGAUCGCAUCACCAGGAAGGAAUGGAGAGUGUUCAUGGAACAAGUACAAGCCUUAGCAGCAAGCAGGAAGCAUGCUAUACAAUCCGGGGCUUCUAAACCCAUUGUGAUUGAUUCUGGAGCAAGUCAUCAUAUGAUCAGUGAUAGGAGGCUUAUAAGUGAGAUCAAGGCUGCAACAGGGAGUGUUAUGAUAGCUAAUGGUGCCAUGAUCCCAAUAGAAGGAGUGGGAAAGCUAAAACUGUUUGAGAAGGACACGGCUGCCUUCUACAUGCCUCAGUUCACUUCAAAUCUAUUAUCUGUGAAGAAAGCUACCAUUGAUCUUGAUUGUCAAGUAGUAUUCAGACCUGAUGAAGUAGAGUUUCAAGAUUUGAAGACUGGGAGAGUCAUUGGCAGAGGAGACAGCAAGAAUCAGCUAUACCACCUCAACUUGGCUAAGACCUCUAAUCCCUUUGAUUCUAUCUGCUUGAGUAGUACUGCUGAGAAGAUUGAUAGUAUUACUUGGCAUGCUAGAUUAGGACAUCCUCAUGCUCGUGCCAUUGAAUUGAUAAUCCCUAAUAUGUCAUUCAAUCACUUGAAUUGUGAAGCAUGCAUAUUAGGAAAGCAUUGUAGGACUGUUUUCCCAACAUCUGAGACUACUUAUGAGCAUUGCUUUGAUCUAGUUCACUCGGAUGUGUGAACCGCUUCAGAAACUACUUAUGAGCAUUGCUUUGAUCUAGUUCACUCGGUUGUGUGAACCGCUCCAUGCAUGUCUAGAGACAGCCAUAAAUACUUUGUGACAUUCAUUGAUGAGAAGUCUAAGUAUACAUGGCUCACAUUGCUUCCAUCUAAAGAUAGGGUGCUAGAAGCUUUUAUGAACUUCCAAGCAUAUGUAUCUAAUCAAUACAAUGCCACUGUGAAGGUACUGAGAUCAGACAACGGAGGUGAAUACAUCAGCAAUGCCUUUAAGAGUCAUCUAGCCAAGCAUGGGAUUGUGCAUCAGACCAGUUGUCCCUACACACCACAGCAGAAUGGUGUAGCUGAGAGGAAGAAUAGGCACUUGAUGGAGGUUGCUAGGUCGAUGAUGUUUCAUGCAAAUGUCCCAAAACGUUUUUGGGGAGAUGCUGUACAGACUGCUUGCUAUCUCAUCAACCGGGUCCCAACCAAGAUACUGAAGAAUCUGUCUCCAUUUGAGGUGCUGAAUAAGAGCAAGCCUUUUAUUGAUCACCUACGAGUAUUUGGGUGUGUAUGCUAUGUCAUAACUCCAGGAGAACAGAGAAACAAGCUGGAGGCAAAGAGUACUAAGGCUAUGUUCAUUGGAUACUCUAUCACUCAGAAGGGAUACAAGUGCUAUGAUCCUGAAGCAAGGAGAGUGAUGGUAUCUAGAGAAGUGAAGUUUAUUGAAUCAAAAGGGUAUUAUGAAGAAAAGGAGUGGGAAAAUCUGAAGGAUUUGUCUCAAGCCCCAUCUGAUAGAGCAACAACACUGAGGGUGCUGUUGGAGAAGCUAGGGAUAGGGUUAUCCCAGGAUCAGGAAUCUGGAAGAAGAGAGUCUUCCAAUCCGACUAGUGAAACUGAAAGAACAACUCCUCUUGAUCAUGAGAGGGGGAAUGGAACUGAAUCUCAUGAGCAAGUGCAAAAUCAAGAAGAUUCAGGCCAGCAUAAUCAAGAGGUGACACAGGAAGUAGAAAGUGAUGCUCAGUCUAGUGGAGAUGGGCAAAGAGAGUCUACUGGCUCAGAUGAGAGUGGAGAGUGGGAAGGAGAUCCUAAUGGGUCAAAUGAGAGUGGUGCUCAAUCAAGUGAAGAUGGGCAAGAGCCACAAGAAGAACAAGUUCAGGAGCUAAGGAGGAGCACAAGGGUGAAGAGAGAUGCUUCCAACUGGGUAAACACGAGAGUGUACUACAAUGCCCAGGCUGUGGAGCAUCCUUCUCAAGCUAUGUGUUCCUUUGCAGAGUUUCCGGACGAGCAUACAGCCUUCACAGUAAGCUUGGAUGAGAGCUAUAUUCCAAGGACAUAUGAAGAAGCUAUGGCUUUAAAGGAGUGGAGAGAUUCAGUUGCUGAUGAGUCCGGAGCCAUGAUUAAGAAUGAAACGUGGUAUGAGAGUGAGCUGCCUAAAGGGAAGAAGGCAGUGACUAGUAAAUGGGUGUUCACAAUCAAGUUUCAUCCUGAUGGGAGAAUAGAGAGGCGCAAAUCUAGGUUGGUGGCAAGAGGAUUUACUCAGACAUAUGGUGAGGACUAUGUUGAGACCUUUGCUCCUGUGGCUAAACUUCAUACUAUCAGAAUUGUAUUAUCUUUAGCUGUGAAUCUUGAGUGGGAUUUGUGGCAAAUGGAUGUGAAGAAUGCAUUCCUUCAAGGAGAGUUGGAAGAUGAAGUAUACAUGCAUCCACCACCAGGUCUUGAAAAUCUAGUAAAGAAGGGUAAUGUGUUGAGGUUGAGGAAAGCUAUCUAUGGUCUCAAGCAGUCUCCAAGGGCGUGGUACAACAAGUUGAGUACUACACUGAAUGGGAGAGGGUUCAGAAAGUCAGAAUUGGAUCACACUCUCUUUACCCUAACCACCUCAUCUGGUAUUGUGGUGUUGCUUGUGUAUGUGGAUGAUAUCAUCAUCACAGGCAGUGAUAAGGAAGGCAUCAAGGCUACAAAGGAGUAUCUCAAGGCAAGCUUUGAGAUUAAAGACUUGGGGGAAAUGAAGUAUUUUCUUGGAAUUGAGAUAUGCAGAUCAAAGGAAUGAUUGUUUAUGUCCCAAAGGUAGUAUGUGAUUGAUCUCUUGAAGGGAGCAGAUGCCUAUGGAGGAAAGACAGCCAAGAUGCCAAUGGAGGAUGGUUACAAGGUUCCACGUGAGGGGGAGAUUGAGGAUAGCAAGCCAUUCCAUGAUCCUAAGCUAUAUAGGAAGCUGGUGGGGAAGUUGAUUUAUCUUACCAUUACUAGACCUGAUGUGUGUUUUGCGGUGAAUCAAGUCAGUCAACACAUGCAAGUUCCUAAGGAGCACCAUUGGCGGAUGGUGGAAAGGAUCUUGAUGUAUCUGAAUGGAACUACUGGACUUGGAGUAUGGAUGAGAUGUAACAAGAGUACUGAGGUUGUAGGCUACUGUGAUGCAGAUUGGGCUGGAGACCGAGCAGACAGAAGAUCAACCACAGGCUAUUGUACAUUCAUUGGUGGUAACUUGGUCACUUGGAAGAGUAAGAAGCAGAAGGUAGUGUCUUGCUCCAGUGCUGAGGCCGAGUAUAGAGCAAUGAUGAAGCUUACAAAUGAGNNNNNNNNNNNNNNNNNNNNNNNNNNNNNNNNNNNNNNNNNNNNNNNNNNNNNNNNNNNNNNNNNNNNNNNNNNNNNNNNNNNNNNNNNNNNNNNNNNNNNNNNNNNNNNNNNNNNNNNNNNNNNNNNNNNNNNNNNNNNNNNNNNNNNNNNNNNNNNNNNNNNNNNNNNNNNNNNNNNNNNNNNNNNNNNNNNCCCACAGGCUAUUGUACAUUCAUUGGUGGUAACUUGGUCACUUGGAAGAGUAAGAAGCAGAAGGUAGUGUCGUGCUCCAGUGCUGAGGCCGAGUAUAGAGCAAUGCUGAAGCUUACAAAUGAGCUAGUGUGGAUGAAAGGGAUUUUGAAGCAUCUGGAGAUUAUUCAAGCAACGCCAAUGACAAUGCAUUGUGAUAAUCAAGCAGCUAUCCACAUUGCAUCUAAUUCUGUGUUCCAUGAGAGAACAAAGCACAUUGAGGUUGAUUGUCACAAGGUGAGGCAGAUGAUGAUUCUUGGGGUGAUUCUACCUUGUUAUACUCGGAGUGAGGAUCAGUUAGCAGAUGUGUUCACAAAGGCAGCAAGGCAAAAGACAAUGGAGUCCAUACACAUCAGGUUAGGACUCAUUGAUCUCUCGCCUAAGGACUAGUCUAUACACUCUCCUGAUCAUGUGAUCUCUACUCUUUCCUCAUUAAGGUUUUGUCCCAAUGGGUUUUCCUUAAUGAGGUUUUAAUGAGGGAGAUCUCAUGGUUCUUCCAAGCUUGACUUGUUCCAAAUGGUCAAGCUUGAGGGGGAGUGUUGAGAUGAGAGAAUAAAGUGUUGAGAUGAAGUGAUGAAGAGUGUUAAGAUGAGUUCAGUAUAAGAGAAGAGAUGACUUGAGGAACUAAGGGAGAUGGAGUUGGGAGAGGAUUGGGCAAGGCCGUACAGAAGCCGUACUAGGCCGUACAGAUUGGGCAAGGUAACUUGACCCCGGUGAACCAAAGUUACUUAGGUAACUUUGUGUGUUGAGAAGAAGCCUUGCUUACCCUUAUCUGAUCAGGCUGUUGCAAAAGGAAGAAGGGAGCGCACAUGACAGCCUGUCCACGGUUGGCAUAAAGCAAAAGGAACCUUAUCCUUAAGGAGGAAGCUUAUUGGAUCAUUUGAAUUAAAGCAAAAGCUUAUCUCUUGUAAUAGUGUAGCUUCCUAAACCCUAGUCUCUAAUGUCGCCUCUCUAUAUAUUGUAAACUCAUGUCAUUAAUCAAGGUAAUGAGUUUUGAGUCUCUCUCUCUCUUGUUCUUAAUCUCCAAUCUCUUUAAUUCUCAGAUUAAACUUAAUCACUCUUUAAAUCACAAAAUCUAAUAUAAGCUUGCAUUGCAUUUAGAGAACUUAAUAAUCAUAAUAACCUAGGAUGUCAAUGUAAUGUCUAGAACUUGUAUUGUCAUUGUUAGAGAUUGAAAUCUACUUGUCUUGACUCAGUCCAGUUCUGAGUGUUGCUAUGCCAUAGUUAAAUCCAUCAGUGAUGUCUUAUAAGCAUUUAGAAGUAUGUCUAAGCUACUUGAAUCAUUGGCUGUGAUAAAACUAGUGAGCAUAAGCAUGAAUUGAGUCACACUUAUUGCCUUGAUUGCAUAAGUAUCAUCUAGUCUUGUGUUCAUUUAGAUUGAAUCUGGUUCAUUCAUAUGGUUAGUGUGUAACCUAAUGCAUUCAUCUAUUGUUGCAUUUAAAAAAACUGAAUUGAACCUAAAGGGAUCAGUGUAUUGUUGAAAGCAUACAUUGUCUUUGCAUAUUCUUGUCUUGAUUGUCUAGCCUGUUUCAAGUAUCAUAUUUUAUUGUGGCAUUGGUGAUCAAACAGGAUGGAUUGAUUGUCUUGAUUGUUUAGCUUGUUUCAAGUAUCAUAUAUUAUUGUGGCAUUGGUGAUCAAACAGGAUGGAUAAUCUUGGUUUGAUCCCAAUGGGAUGAUCUGAUCUUGCAUUGAGUUGUGGUGGUGUUAGGUACACAAGGAAUGUGAUACAUGUAACUCGCCAACAACCAAAAAUGUAAAGACAAAGGUCUUGUGCCAUUGCAUAUCAUCACUAGGACAUGUUAGUCCAUAAUCUACAGGAAGUGUAGUGUGAUUAAGUAUGCAAUGAGAGAUGGCUAUUGCAUAAUACCAUUGGACAUAUCUAGUCCUUAGUCUACAGGAAGUGUAGCAUGGGUCAUUAUGCAAUGAGAGGUGUGUCUUGUGAGACUCUCUAUGGUAAUUCAAACACCCUAGUUCCUGGUUAAGGAAGAGAGUAAACUCACAAGAAGAAAGUUAUCAUGAAAGAUGAUAGUUAUUAGACCAUGGAGAUGCAUAGGAUCAUCACAAGCUUAGCUCCUUCUAGUCUAGGUUCUAAGCUUGAGGGGGAGUCUUAAUGCAUAUGAUCCAUGGUCAGUAACAAGUCUUUGCAAAGGCUUCUACAAAGGAUCAUCAACCGGGCCAAGUCAGUGGCGUGUCUAGGCAAGAGGCCGUUCAGAGCAGUCUUGGCGAGUGAGGAAGAAGGCUCUCCAUCAAUGCGGCUUCAAUGAGAGAGGUGAUUGAGGAGAAGCUGAUGAAUCCAUUCUGCCUUCCCAAGAAGUUGAUGAUGCCAUGAAGAUGGUGCAUUGGACGAGUUAGGAAACUCACAAAAACACAAGGGAAGUUCCCUUAGACUUUUAAACUCUUUCUUCAAAUCUUCUUCAUUCAUCUUAUUCAUUGCUUGUGCGUGAAAAGAUACUUAAAAUGAUUAUGAUUGAAUUGUGAGAUUGUGUGCAUCAAUUGGGAUGCAAGAUAUUCAUUUUCUUGGUGUUGAUAGGUACUGAUGCACCAUUGGAAUAAUGUAUCAGGUACCAUUGCUUGAUGCCUCAUUAAACAGUUCCGGGUAAUCUCUUAGCUUCUCUAAAGAGGCUGUGAAGUCUGUUGAGAGGGGGAGAUUCCAAACCUGGUCGAUGAAGAAGGCAAGCCAGAAAGAGUUUAAAAAAAGUCUAAGGGAACUUCCCUUGUGUUUUUGUGAGUUUCCUAACUCGGCCAAUGCACCAUCUUCAUGGCAUUAUCAACUUCUUGGAAAGGCAGAAUGGAUUCAUCAGCUUCUCCUCAAUCACCUCUCAUUGAAGCCGCAUUGAUGGAGAGCCUUCUUCCUCACUCGCCAAGACUGCUCUGAACAGCCUCUUACCUAGACACGCCACUGACUUGGUCCGGUUGAUGAUCCUUUGUAGAAGCCUUUGCAAAGACUUGUUACUGACCAUGGAUCAUAUGCAUUAAGACUCCCCCUCAAGCUUAGAACCGAGACUAUAAGGAACUAAGCUUGUGAUGAUCCUAUGCAUCUCCAUGGUCUAAUAACUAUCAUCUUUCAUGAUAGCUUUCUUCUUGUGAGUUUACUCUCUUCCUUAACCAGGAACUAGGGUGUUUGAAUCCCCAUAGAGAGUCUCACAUGUCACACCUCUCAUUGCAUAAUGACCCAUGCUACACUUCCUGUAGACUAAGGACUAGAUAUGUCCAAUGGUAUUAUGCAAUGGCCAUCUCUCAUUGCAUACUCAAUCACACUACACUUCCUGUAGACUAAGGACUAGAUAUGUCCAAUGGUAUUAUGCAAUGGCCAUCUCUCAUUGCAUACUCAAUCACACUACACUUCCUGUAGAUUAUGGACUAACAUGUCCUAGUGAUGAUAUGCAAUGGCGCAAGACCCUUGUCUUUACAUUCUUGGUUGUUGGCGAGUUACAUGUAUCACUUCCCUUGUGUACCUACACCACCACAACUCAACGCAAGAUCAGAUCAUCCCAUUGGGAUCAAACCAAGAUCAUCCAUCCUGUUUGAUCACCAAUGCCACAAUAAUAUAUGAUACUUGAAACAAGCUAGACAAUCAAGACAAGAAUAUGCAAAGACAAUGUAUGCUUUCAACAAUACACUGAUCCCUUUAGGUUCAAUUCAGGUUUUUUUUUUUUAAAUGCAACAAUAGAUGAAUGCAUUAGAUUACACACUAACCAUAUGAAUGAACCAGAUUCAAUCCAAAUGAACACAAGACUAGAUGAUACUUAUGCAAUCAAGGCAAUAAGUGUGACUCAAUUCAUGCUUAUGCUCACUAGUUUUAUCACAGCCAAUGAUUCAAGUAGCUUAGACAUACUUCUAAAUGCUUAUAAGACAUCACUGAUGGAUUUAACUAUGGCAUAGCAACACUCAGAACUGGACUGAGUCAAGACAAGUAGAUUUCAAUCUCUAACAAUGACAAUGCAAGUUCUAGACACUACAUUGACAUCCUAGGUUAUUAUGAUUAUUAAGUUCUCUAAAUGCAAUGCAAGCUUACAUCAGUACAUUUGAAAUUUAGGCUCAUUUUUAAAUGCAUUACUACAUGAAUGCACAAUCUUAAAUCAUUAGCUAUAUGAAUGCAACAGGUUCAAUCCAUGAUUAAUAUUAAAGCAAUGCACAACAGUUUCAAUCAGAACCAAUGAUGCAAGCAACUUAGACAAUUUCUAAUUGAUGCAAGACUUUCAUUGAUGGAUUAAACAUAGGCAAUAGCAUCAGAUAACACUAGGAUUGAACUUAGACAGUAUGAGAUAUGCUUAUGUAUGCAAAAUAACUUAUCAAUCAUGAUGCAAGUAGCAGAGACAUUCUACUCAAUUCUACAACACAUUCAUGAUGAUUCAAGUUUAUGACCACACCCAAGACAAUGCAAUAAACAGACCGUGAGAUUCUGGGACUCUAGACAUUACUUACUAUCAAUAAGACAAUGCAGCAGCAAAACAAUUUCCGUGCAAUUAGCCUAGACAUUCUACUAGAAGCUAUAAACUCUUAAUGGAAUUAGGGAAAGCACAUAGUAUAAUCAGGAGAUAAACCUAUCAAGACAUAUUAAGAUAGAUGAGAUUAGGUUUACUCCCUUGGUUAAGAUGAUAAGGAGUGGUUCUCAAAGUUACCACUUGAAUCCUUACUUCUUCUUCUUCUCUUAUUGCAAUCACCCUUCUGAAUUCACCACCAUGAUGGAAUGCUUGUGGAUGCUUCAGCUACUUCUUCAAUCACCUCACAAUAGAAGCCGCCUUGAUAGAGUAGCCUUCUUCUUCACACAGCCAAGAGUGCUCUGUCUUAGUUUGAGCACCCUCUUGAAUAGGCACGCCACUGCCUAGACCCGGUUGGCUUCUUCUUCUGGUACUUGCAAUGUUAAGAAGAAGAACACCAGUGAGUUUUACAACCAUCUGUGCUUCUCCCUUCUUGUAACACCUCUCCAUUGUACACACACAAUGGGCAUCAUUCUUUCUCUUUCAACUCGGAUUUGAUGAUGAACUAGGAACACCUUUUGUGAACCUGAAACAUCACUCAAACUCUAGCAAAGAUAAGACACAAUUGCAUUGGGAUCAAUCCUUGACUUCAUCAAGUUUGAUCACCAAUGUCUCAAGCUUUAUAGCAUUAGAUAGAAUCAAGACAAUGUCAAGUUCUUAUCUAUGCAAGCAACCAUUCUCUAAAUACUAAGCAAGACCUUAUCAGAUUCAAGUCAAAGUAUUUAGGCACUUUUAAACACUCCUUAAAAUGCAACUUAGACUUUAAUCUAAAUGCAACAAUACAAGGCAGUAUGCAUUAAUCUUAAUCAGUUUCUAACUCAUAACAGCAAGCAUGAUAAUAUAAUCUAUCAUCUUAACAAGACAAUUUUAAUUUAGAACUGACAUUAAGCAUUUAACCAUUUUCAAUCUUAUUGAUGUCAAACCUUGAUUAAUAACUUAUCAAGUUUGAUUCCUACUAUCAUAAGCAAUGCAACAGAUAGACACAAGGAAUUAUCAAGUUCUAUUCUUUGCAAGCUAACUCUCUAAGUACAAGCAGGAUCCUAACAGAUUCAAGACAAGUUACUUAGGCACUCUUAAGAGCUUCUUUACUCAGCACUUAGACAUGAAUCUAAUGCUUCAAUGUCAGACAGCCAGCGGAUUCAUUUCAUGAAAAACAAUCAGGUUUAGACGUCUACUAACUUCCUGACAAGCAUCAUUAUAUCCGGGACUACACAGUUCUCAGCAUUACUUCAAUCAAUUUCAGUUCAUGAGCACAGGAUUCAAACAAUAAGUUUUAAUAUCAUAGCAAACUCAUGACUGAACUAGAGCAAUCAAUUUAUUCUUCAAAACACUAAACAAGCCUUUAAAGCAUCCUGGGAUAUACACAGCAUAUCAAUCACCACACCACCUUAACAUUUCUAUAUUCAAGCUUUUUAAUAAAGAGGGAAAGAGAUCCAGCUUACAGCCAAGGAACUUUUACUAGUUCCUUGAAUCUCCAUGGUUCAUGGCCAGAUGUUGAGCUCUUGGUGUCGUAUAACACCCCUUCUUCUUUCAUGAACCAUCCUCUUGAACCCACCAUGGCUGAGACACCUCCUUUCCUCCCUGUCAAGUCGCCAAAACCAGUCCCAAGUAGAAAGCUGUCACCUUUCUUCUUGAACCACCACUAAGACUCAAGGAUCUAGCUCUUGAAGAGUGUUGUCAAACCACUUCAAGGCUUUGUUCUUCAGGGUCUCCUUUCUUCAGGUCGAGCUUGAUAGGUCAGGAUAGAGCACAUACAGCUUCUCAAGCACCUCGGAUGUGUUUAUCUUCCUCCUGAAGAUGAACAAACGUUGGCUGGACCAAAGAGCUUCUUCUUUGCUUCAAACAGCCAUGGAAGUGGGCUUGAGCUUUGCGGAAGUUAGAUACCAGGUUCUGAUGAACCUGGCUCUGAUACCAUGAGAUUUUUAUAAGGAUUCACUCAAGGUGUGUGUGAGAAAGUGUUUAGGAGAGUUUAUGUGAACAGAUUUGAGACUUAGGAGUAUGGGGAGAGAUUUAGAGUAUGAAAGAGACUAGGUAACAAGAUUAAAGAGACUGAGAGACUUAGAGAAUAGAUUAGAGACUUAGUAUCAAGAACAGACUUUCAUAGAACAUGAAGGAAAAGGGUUUCCCCCCUUACUCACUUAAAGAUUACAAAAUGAUCAUUAGAGGCUUAUAUAUGCCUUUACACAACUCAGAUCACAAACCUAGAUCCUAAGGCUGUAAUUAAAAGAUAGAUUGAAUGGCUAGGAUGAGAGAAGAGUGGUCUUUGAGGUUCUGGUGAUAGCUGGCGACUUUUGACUGAAUGGAGAGCUCAGAUUGCUUCAUUUGAAUGAAGGGAAGAGAUUGGUCUUGCUGUAAAGGUAAAGCACCUUUACCUUUCCAGCUUGCACAUACAGCUCACUCUUAUCCCUUUGGUAUAUUCUCCUUGCCUCUCACACUCCAACGGUCACUAUAGGAACCUUAACCCGCGCCCACACAUUGCACAACUCUGAGCAAGGCUGAUCCGGGUGAUGGCCAAACCGGAUUGGAUGUACGGUCUCUUGUACGGCCUUGAGGUCCGUACACUCGCCCUAUAUCUGCACCUUCAUCCAAACAUCUUCUAUGAUUGACCCAUACACCUUCUUGGAUCGCCCUAGGCCGUACCAUGGCCGUACUGGCCCUAUCUUUGCACCAUACUUCCAUCUUCUCUCUAACUCCUCCAAAGCCUUCACAUGAUCAGUCUAAGUCUUUCCUUGACUUAACUUCACAUAACUACUUCAGAACAUCUCUGAAGCUUGAUUGAACUCUUCUUGACAUCUUCUAGAGCUUGCCCUAUUAUUUGUACAAGCUCCAUCUUCUCUUCAGUUCAACACUCCCCCUCAAGCUUGACUUUAGGAGAUCCUAAUAAGGAGUUUCUAAAAUCUAUGUUUGAAAUAAAAGACUUGGGAGAAAUGAAAUACUUUCUUGGAAUUGAGAUUUGUAGAUCCAAGGAAGGUUUGUUCAUGUCCCAAAGGAAGUAUACACUUGAUCUUUUGAAAGGUGCAGGUGCUUAUGGAGGCAAGACAGCAAAGAUGCCAAUGGAGGAUGGCUACAAAGUACCAAGAGAGGGGGAGAUUGAAGACAGCACAGGUGCAGCGACUCUUCACAGCUUUGCGCACACUUCACACUUCAGCUUCACCUCUUCAUGGAACUGGUUUGAAGUCUCCCCCUCUCAACUGACUUCUCAGCCAUCUUAGAGAAGCUAGGACACGACCAGAUCAUCUUCAAAACACCAGUGAGCCUUAUCAACACUUCACACACGGCUUGCCCUCCUCAUAGACCUGGUUUGGAUCUCCCCCUCUCAGCAGACUUCUCAGCCACCUUAGAGAAGCUAGGAAAUGACCAGGAACACCUUUAGUGAGGCUCAAGCAAUGGUACCUGAUACAUUAUCCCAAAGGUGCAUCAGUACCUAUCAAAAACAAGACAAUGAAUAUCCUGCAUCACACUUGAUACACACAAUCCCAUAAUUCAAUCAUGAUCAUCUUAAGUAUCUUUUCAAGGAGAAGCUAAUGAAUAAGAUGAAUGAAAAAGAUUGAAGAAAGAGUUUAAGUUUAAGGGAACUUCCCUUGUGUUUUUGUGAGUUUCCUAACUCGGCCAAUGCACUAUCUUCAUGGCAUCAUCAACUUCUUGGAAAGGCAGAAUGGAUUCAUUAGCUUCUCUCCUCAAUCACCUCUCAUUGAAGCCGCAUUGAUGGAGAGCCUUCUUCCUCACUCGCCAAGACCGCUCUGAACAGCCUCUUACCUAGACACGCCACUGACUUGGUCCGGUUGAUGAUCCUUUGUAGAAGCCUUUGCAAAGACUUGUUACUGACCAUGGAUCAUAUGCAUUAAGACUCCCCCUCAAGCUUAGAACCGAGACUUAUAAGGAGCUAAGCUUGUGAUGAUCCUAUGCAUCUCCAUGGUCUAAUAACUAUCAUCUUUCAUGAUAGCUUUCUUCUUGUGAGUUUACUCUCUUCCUUAACCAGGAACUAGGGUGUUUGAAUCACCAUAGAGAGUCUCACAAGACACACCUCUCAUUGCAUAAUGACCCAUGCUACACUUCCUGUAGACUAAGGACUAGAUAUGUCCAAUGGUAUUAUGCAAUGGCUAUCUCUCAUUGCAUACUCAAUCACACUACACUUCCUGUAGAUUAUGGACUAACAUGUCCUAGUGAUGAUAUGCAAUGGCACAAGACCUUUGUCUUUACAUUCUUGGUUGUUGGCGAGUUACAUGUAUCACCUUCCUUGUGUACCUAACACCACCACAACUCAAUGCAAGAUCAGAUCAUCCCAUUGGGAUCAAACCAAGAUCAUCCAUCCUGUAUGAUCACCAAUGCCACAAUAAUAUAUGAUACUUGAAACAAGCUAGACAAUCAAGACAAGAAUAUGCAAAGACAAUGUAUGCUUUCAACAAUACACUGAUCCCUUUAGGUUCAAUUCAGUUUUUUUUUUUUAAAUGCAACAAUAGAUGAAUGCAUUAGAUUAUACACUAACCAUAUGAAUGAACCAGAUUCAAUUCAAAUGAACACAAGACUAGAUGAUACUUAUGCAGUCAAGGCAAUAAGUGUGACUCAAUUCAUGCUUAUGCUCACUAGUUUUAUCACAGCCAAUGAUUCAAGUAGCUUAGACAUACUUCUAAAUGCUUAUAAGACAUCACUGAUGGAUUUAACUAUGGCAUAGCAACACUCAGAACUAGACUGAGUCAAGACAAGUAGAUUUCAAUCUCUAACAAUGACAAUGCAAGUUCUAGACACUACAUUGACAUCCUAGGUUAUUAUGAUUAUUAAGUUCUCUAAAUGCAAUGCAAGCUUACAUCAGUACAUUUGAAAUUUAGGCUCAUUUUUAAAUGCAUUACUACAUGAAUGCACAAUCUUAAAUCAUUAGCUAUAUGAAUGAAACAGGUUCAAUCCAUGAUUAAUAUUAAAGCUAUGCACAACAGUUUUCAAUCAGAACCAAUGAUGCAAGCAACUUAGACAAUUUCUAAUUGAUUCAAGACUUUCAUUGAUGGAUUAAACAUAGGCAAUAGCAUCAGAUAACACUAGGAUUGAACUUAGACAGUAUGAGAUAUGCUUAUGUAUGCAAAAUAACUUAUCAAUCAUGAUGCAAGUAGCAGAGACAUUCUACUCAAUUCUACAACACAUUCAUGAUGAUUCAAGUUUAUGACCACACCCAAGACAAUGCAAUAAACAGACCGUGAUAUUCUGGGACUCUAGACAUUACUUACUAUCAAUAAGACAAUGCAGCAGCAAAACAAUUUCAGUGCAAUUAGCCUAGACAUUCUACUAGAAGCUAUAAACUCUUAAUGGAAUUAGGGAAAGCACAUAGUAUAAUCAGGAGAUAAACCUAUCAAGACAUAUUAAGAUAGAUGAGAUUAGGUUUACUCCCUUGGUUAAGAUGAUAAGGAGUGGUUCUCAAAGUUACCACUUGAAUCCUUACUUCUUCUUCUUCUCUUAUUGCAAUCACCCUUCUGAAUUCACCACCAUGAUGGAAUGCUUGUGGAUGCUUCAGCUACUUCUUCAAUCACCUCACAAUAGAAGCCGCCUUGAUAGAGUAGCCUUCUUCUUCACACAGCCAAGAGUGCUCUGUCUUAGUUUGAGCACCCUCUUGAAUAGGCACGCCACUGCCUAGACCCGGUUGGCUUCUUCUUCUGGUACUUGCAAUGUUAAGAAGAAGAACACCAGUGAGUUUUACAACCAUCUGUGCUUCUCCCUUCUUGUAACACCUCUCCAUUGUACACACAAUGGGCAUCAUUCUUUCUCUUUCAACUCGGAUUUGAUGAUGAACUAGGAACACCUUUUGUGAACCUGAAACAUCACUCAAACUCUAGCAAAGAUAAGACACAAUUGCAUUGGGAUCAAUCCUUGACUUCAUCAAGUUUGAUCACCAAUGUCUCAAGCUUUAUAGCAUUAGAUAGAAUCAAGACAAUGUCAAGUUCUUAUCUAUGCAAGCAACCAUUCUCUAAAUACUAAGCAAGACCUUAUCAGAUUCAAGUCAAAGUAUUUAGGCAAUUUCAACCAUUCCGUAAUAUGCAACUUAGACUUUAAUCUAAAUGCAACAAUAAACAGGGGCAGUAUGCAUUAAUCUUACUCAGUUUCUAACUCAUGAAGGCAAGCAUGAUUAGAUAAUACAAUCUAUCAUCUUAACAAGACAUGUUUAUUUAGAACUGACAUUAAGCAUUUAACCAUUUUCAAUAGUACUGAUGUCAAAUCUUGAUUAACAACUUAUCAAGUUUGAUUCCUACUAUCACAAGCAAUGCAACAGAUAGACACAAGGCAUUACCAAGUUCUAUUCUUUGCAAGCUAACUCUCUAAGUACAAGCAGGAUCCUAACAGAUUCAAGACAAGUUACUUAGGCACUCUUAAGAGCUUCUUUACUCAGCACUUAGACAUGAAUCUAAUGCUUCAAUGUCAGACAGCCAUUUGACAGUAUGCACUGACCUUAACCAGUUUCAAUUUAUGAAUGCAACAAUAUAAUCCAUCACACAUUCAUUUAUAACUUAGGCUAAGCAUUUCUAUCAUCACUUAACAUCAGACAAUGCAUUAUUUUCAAUCUGUUUUCAGUUCAUGAGCUUCAAACAAUACCAUUUCACAUUUAGCAAACUCAUUACUUAACAGGAGCAAGCAUUUUACUCUUUAAACACUAAACAAGCCUUUAAAGCAUCCUGGGACAGAUUCAACUAAUUUUUAUUUAGCAAUCACACAUUAUCCUCAGGUUUUUCAAUCAAUACACAUCACAAUAACCAGGCACAGUCACAAGUUCAUUUUUAAGAGAGAUAGGAUUAGCUUACAAACAAGGAACUAGCGCUAGUUCCUUGAGCCUCCUUUGCAACCGGUCAUGCUCUUUUAAUGGAUUGGAGAUGUUGAAUCUUCACCCAACAGCCCCUCCUGGUGUUCAUGAUCGCUACUUGAACUUUCACCUCCAAAGGUUCCUCCUUUCUUCAUCUCUUGAACUCGCCAGCUUCUGGAACUAGGGAAAGAACUCUUCUUCAAAGGUUUCCUCUUGGACAGAAGGAAUGGCUCGCCUUGUAUGGACUGGAACAGGAAGGAACCGCCAUGAUAAACCUCCAUAAUAGCUUCAGACAUCUUCUUCUUGAAGUGAGAGAGCUGGCUGGACAGAUCUUCAUGGUUUGGCUUCAUGGUGAGACAGACUUGUGACUUGAAUGCGGAAGCUACAGCUCAGGUUCUGAUGAACCUGGCUCUGAUACCCUUGAAUGCGGAAGCUACAGCUCAGGUUCUGAUGAACCUGGCUCUGAUACCAUGAGAUUUUAUAAGGAUUCACUCAAGGUGUGUGUGUGAGAAAGUGUUUAGGAGAGUUUAUGUGAACAGAUUUGAGACUUAGGAGUAUGGGAGAGAUUUAGAGUAUGAAGGAGACUAGGUAACAAGAUUAAAGAGACUGAGAGACUUAGAGAAUAGAUUAGAGACUUAGUAUCAAGAACAUACUUUCAUAGAACAUGAAGGAGAAGGGUUUCCCCCCUUACUCUCUUGCUUAAUCAAAUCGCAUACAAGAGGCUUUUAUAAGCCUUUAUAUGUCACAAAGACUUAACCUAAAUCCUAAGGACAAGAAUACAAGAUAGAUUGAAUGGCUAGGAUGAGAGAAGAGUGGUCUUUGAUGUUCUGGUGAUAGCUGGCGACUUUUGACUGAAUGGAGAGCUCAGAUUGCUUCAUUUGAAUGAAGGGAAGAGAUUGGUCUUGCUGUAAAGGUAAAGCACCUUUACCUUUCCAGCUUGCACAUACAGCUCACUCUUAUCCCUUUGGUAUAUUCUCCUUGCCUCUCACACUCCAACGGUCACUAUAGGAACCUUAACCCGCGCCCACACAUUGCACAACUCUGAGCAAGGCUGAUCCGGGUGAUGGCCAAACCGGAUUGGAUGUACGGUCUCUUGUACGGCCUUGAGGUCCGUACACUCGCCCUAUAUCUGCACCUUCAUCCAAACAUCUUCUAUGAUUGACCCAUACACCUUCUUGGAUCGCCCUAGGCCGUACCAUGGCCGUACUGGCCCUAUCUUUGCACCAUACUUCCAUCUUCUCUCUAACUCCUCCAAAGCCUUCACAUGAUCAGUCUAAGUCUUUCCUUGACUUAACUUCACAUAACUACUUCAGAACAUCUCUGAAGCUUGAUUGAACUCUUCUUGACAUCUUCUAGAGCUUGCCCUAUUAUUUGUACAAGCUCCAUCUUCUCUUCAGUUCAACACUCCCCCUCAAGCUUGACUUUAGGAGAUCCUAAGCCAAGCUUGGAACUCUGAAGAGUCUCUCUCAUUAAAAACCUUACAAGGAAAACCCAUUGGGACAAAACCUUGCAAGGUAAAAAGAGUAGAGCUCUCCAAAGCCUAGGGAUUGGCCAGUGAGCUCUUGUGCCUUAGAACCAAUGUGGUUGGACACAAGAAGCUCUGGAUCACGGCCUAACAGGUGCAGCGACUCUUCACAGCUUUGCGCACACUUCACACUUCAGCUUCACCUCUUCAUGGAACUGGUUUGAAGUCUCCCCCUCUCAACUGACUUCUCAGCCAUCUUAGAGAAGCUAGGACACGACCAGAUCAUCUUCAAAACACCAGUGAGCCUUAUCAACACUUCACACACGGCUUGCCCUCCUCAUAGACCUGGUUUGGAUCUCCCCCUCUCAGCAGACUUCUCAGCCACCUUAGAGAAGCUAGGAAAUGACCAGGAACACCUUUAGUGAGGCUCAAGCAAUGGUACCUGAUACAUUAUCCCAAAGGUGCAUCAGUACCUAUCAAAAACAAGACAAUGAAUAUCCUGCAUCACACUUGAUACACACAAUCCCAUAAUUCAAUCAUGAUCAUCUUAAGUAUCUUUUCAAGGAGAAGCUAAUGAAUAAGAUGAAUGAAAAAGAUUGAAGAAAGAGUUUAAGUUUAAGGGAACUUCCCUUGUGUUUUUGUGAGUUUCCUAACUCGGCCAAUGCACUAUCUUCAUGGCAUCAUCAACUUCUUGGAAAGGCAGAAUGGAUUCAUUAGCUUCUCUCCUCAAUCACCUCUCAUUGAAGCCGCAUUGAUGGAGAGCCUUCUUCCUCACUCGCCAAGACCGCUCUGAACAGCCUCUUACCUAGACACGCCACUGACUUGGUCCGGUUGAUGAUCCUUUGUAGAAGCCUUUGCAAAGACUUGUUACUGACCAUGGAUCAUAUGCAUUAAGACUCCCCCUCAAGCUUAGAACCGAGACUUAUAAGGAGCUAAGCUUGUGAUGAUCCUAUGCAUCUCCAUGGUCUAAUAACUAUCAUAUUUCAUGAUAGCUUUCUUCUUGUGAGUUUACUCUCUUCCUUAACCAGGAACUAGGGUGUUUGAAUCACCUUAGAGAGUCUCACAAGACACGCCUCUCAUUGCAUAAUGACCCAUGCUACACUUCCUGUAGACUAAGGACUAGAUUUGUCCAAUGGUAUUAUGCAAUGGCCAUCUCUCAUUGCAUACUCAAUCACACUACACUUCCUGUAGAUUAUGGACUAACAUGUCCUAGUGAUGAUAUGCAAUGGCACAAGACCUUUGUCUCUACAUUCUUGGUUGAUGGCGAGUUACAUGUAUCACUUCCCUUGUGUACCUAACACCACCAAAACUCAAUGCAAGAUCAGAUCAUCCCAUUGGGAUCAAACCAAGAUCAUCCAUCCUGUUUGAUCACCAAUGCCACAAUAAUAUAUGAUACUUGAAACAAGCUAGACAAUCAAGACAAUCUAGCAAAGACAAUCAAUUCAGUUUUUUUUAAAUGCAACAAUAGAUGAAUGCAUUAGGUUACACUAACUAUAUGAAUGAAACAGAUUCAAUCCAAAAUGGAACACAAGUCUAGAUGAUACUUCUGCAAUUAAGGCGACAAGAGUGACACAAUUCAUGCAUAUGCUUACUAGUUUUAUCAAGGCCAAUGAUUCAAGUAGCUUAGACAUACUUCUAAAUGCUUAUAAGACAUCACUGAUGGAUUUAACUAUGGCAUAGCAACAAUCAGAACUGGAUUGAGUCGAGACAAGCAGAUUUCAAUUUCUAACAAUGACAAUGCAAGUUCUAUACAGUUCUCUAAAUGCAAAGCUUAUAUCAGGUCAUUUGCAAUUUAGGCUCAUUUUUAAAUGCAUUACUACAUGAAUGCACAAUCUUAAAGAAUUAGCUAUAUGAAUGCAACGGGUUCAAUCCAUGAGUAAUAUUAAAGCUCUGCACAACAGUUUCAAUCAGAACCAAUGAUGCAAGCAACUUAGACAAUUUCUAAUUGAUGCAAGACUUUCAUUGAUGGAUUAAACAUAGGCAAUAACAUCAGAUAACACUAGGAUUGAACUUAGACAGUAUGAGAUAUGCUUAUGUAUGCAAAAGAACUUAUCAAUCAUGAUGCAAGCAGCAGAGACAUUCUACUCAAUUCUACAACACAUCCAUGAUGAUUCAAGCUAUGACAACACUCAAGACAAUGCAAUAAACAAAACAUGAGAUUCUGGGACUCUAGACACCACUCACAGCAUAAUAAAUAAAGACACAAGCUCUUAUUAAGGGUUAAGAGGUUUGCUUACAAACAAGAGAUCCGAGCUGAUCUCUUGAACCUCCAUGGGCACGGUUCACUUGAACUUGGCAUGAACUUGAUACUUGGAUUCAGUAUCCAACACCUUUCCUUGGUGUGCCCAUCCCUCUUGCAAUGCUCACUCUCCAAUGCUUCACUCUUCGGCUGGAUCACUCCAUGAUCAGCUUGCAAUGGUCUUGGUUUACAUUGCAUCACCCUCCUGGUGAUGCUCUUUCUUUGCAUGUCGACUGUCCUCUCUACACUCAUCUGAUGCGUAGACUAUGGUGACUAAACCACCAUGGACAGAACCAUAAGUCAUCUCUCCAUUGUCACAACAUCCUCUCUACCCUCUUUGGAGCAGGCUGUGGACUUCCCACAGAAUGUUGGCAACAGGCUUCAUUUUACCAUUCUAUUGUAUGAUAAGGAUGAACUUCAAGACCAGGAGCACAUCACCCUAACAGCUGCGCUUAAAUCACUGAUCCAUCCUUUUGCUUUAAGCUUCAAGUACUCUCAGAUCACCGGCCUUCCUCAUGGCAUAGGUGGUGACCUUCUUCUUCUUGUGUGCCUUGAACCAGGAGCUCAACAACCUCGUGGCCUGCGCUUCUUAAACCGGCUUCUACACACAAGAACCUUCCCAUUGCUCCACACAAUGGUUGGUCUUCCGCUUGUAUGUCUUGAACCAGGAGCUCAACAACCUCGUGGCCUGCGCUUCUUAAACCAGCUUCUACACACAAGUAUCUUCCCAUUGCUCCACACAAUGGUUCAAGUCUUCCUCUUUUCUUGGAUAGGUGGUGAGCAGAGAACACUUCUUGUGAACCUGAAACACCACUCAAACUCCAGCAAGGAUAAGACACAAGAGUAUUGGGAUCAAUCCUUGAUUAAUCAUCAGGUUUGAUUCCCAAUCUCACAAGCAAUGCAACAGAUAGACACAAGGCAUUAUCAAGUUCUAUUCUUUGCAAGCUAGCUCUCUAAGAACAAGCAAGAUCCUAACAGAUUCAAGACAAGUUACUUAGGCACUUUUAAAAAGCUUCUUUACUCAGCACUUUAGACAUGAAUCUAAUGCUUCAAUGUAAGAUAGCCACAAGACAAUAUGCAACAGCUUUAAAUUCAGUUUCAAUCCAUGUAUGCAAGCAGAUUCAGUUAAUCACUCUAAGCAUCACUAUGAAACGAAGCUAAGCAUAUUAAUCACAUUCAGUCACCAAACAAAGCUCUUAAAGUAUCCUGGGACAGAUUCUAAACAUUUUAAUUUAUCAAUCUUUAACAGUCCUCAGGUUUUCAAUCACAUCACACAUUACAACCAGUCAACAACACAAGCUCAUUAUCAAGAGGGUUUUAAAAUCGCUUACACAAGGAACCAGGUUGGUUCCUUAAACCUCCAAGGGGACUGGCCAUGGCUUUUGUUGAAUCUGAGAGUCUGGAUAGGUACCCACCUCCUACUCCUUCAGUUCAUGAUGGCUUUUGUUGAAUCUGAGAGUCUGGAUAGUCACCCACCUUCUACUCCUUCAGUUCAUGACCACCUUCUUGUUUCUCCAGCUCAAAGACUCCUCCUUUCUCCAAGUCUUCUAGGCGCCAUCACCUUGACAGCUUUCAUGAUGAACCGGGUGAAGAAAGCUCUUGGAGGAGGCGCCUUGGAUGAGGUUCGUGAGUCCUCUCCAUACACUUCUUCUUCCAAUGAGUCUCUCCAUCAGUAUAGACAGGAGAAAGGAUGAGAGACACGCCCUUCAGUCUUCUUCUCAUGGAGAAACUGAACUCGGAUGGGAAUGUCUUCAAGGAUUGGAUUUGAGCUGAGGGUAGAGCUUGUGUUGUGCGGAAGCUACAGCUCAGGUUCUGAUGAACCUGGCUCUGAUACCAUAUGAUUUUUAAAGAGAUCUCUACUCUGGUAGUAUGUGUGUGUGUAUAAGCUUCAAUGAAGAAUGAUUAGAGCUUGUUCUAGGUGAUUUAGGAAGAGAGAUUUGUGAGAGUGUAUAAGAGACUUAAGAACAGAGAGAUUAAGAGACUUAAGAGACUAGAGAGACUGAGAGAAUAAGAGACUGAAGAUUAGUGUUUCAGAUUAGAGAAGGAGAGGGGAAACCCCCUAACUCACUUAGUCUAUUACAAUCGCCAAUCCUUGGCUUAUAUAUGUCUCUACACUUUGCAAUAUCAUAAACCUAUAUCCUAGGGCUGAUAUUAACUUGAAUGAUGGACGGCCUGGAUGAGAUAAGGCUGGUCUUUGGUCUUGGCAGCUUGUCUUGUAAUUGGUUGAUUCAAACUGAGGCAAAAGGAGACUGAAGGCGCCAAUGUAUCUUGCUCCUUAUGUGACCAGAUACAUGCUUCUCCUUUUGCCUUUACCUUUUGCUUUUGCUUUCACUUUACAGCUUGCUCCUUAUCUAUACAAGAUGCUCAGCAUAUUCCUUCCCUCCAUAAGCCUUCAACGGUCUUGUUAAUUCAAACCUGCCGCGCCCACACAUUGCACAACUUGAUCAAGACUGAUCCGAGUGAUGGCUGUACCGGAUGGGAUGUACGGACGCUGUACGGCCUUGAGGUCCGUACACUCGUCCUAUGCCUUCAUCCAACUUCCUUCUAUGGUUAACCCUUACACCUUCUUGGAUCACCCUAGGCCGUACCAUGUCCGUACCGAACGCCCUAUCUUUGCACCAUACUUCCAUCUUCUCUUUAACUCCUCCAAAGCCUCCACAUGAUCAGUCUAAGUCUUUCCUAGACUUAACUUCACAAGAUAACUCCUUCAGAACACUUCUGAAGCUUGAUUGAACUCUUCUAGACAUCUUCUAGAGCUUGCCCUAUUCUUGUACAAGCUCCAUCUUCUCUUCAGUUCAACAGUUACAUCAUUUAUAGAAGAGGCAUUAGGGUUUACAAGUUAAGGGAAAACAUCACUAGUCAUAAGCAUGUGUAGUCAAGACCAAAGGGAGCGUUUCUUUUGAAUGAAUGGACGGUAAGGCUCACACGCUUUGCCUUUGCCUUUACAGCCUGUCCACGGCCUGGAUGGACAAGGGAAAAAGAGUAGAGCUCUCCAAAGCCUAGGGAUUGGCCAGUGAACUCUUGUGCCUUAGAACCAGUGAGGUUGGACACAAGAAGUUCUGGAUCACGGCCUAAACUGGUGCAGCAACUCCACAAGACUUUGCGCACUCAACAACUCAGCUUCACCUCUUCAUGGAACUGGUUUGAGGUCUCCCCCUCUCAACUGACUUCACAGCCUUCUUAGAGAAGCUAGGACACGACCAGAUCAUCUUCUCAACACUAGUGAGGCUGAUCAACACUUCACACACGGCUUGCCCUCUUCAUAGAACUGGUUUGGAUAUCCCCCUCUCAACCGACUUCACAGCCUUCUUAGGGAAGCUAGGAAAUGAUCAGGUCCUUCUUUGGUGAGGCUCAAGCACUGGUACCUGAUACAUUAUCCCACAGGUGCAUCAGUACCUAUUAAAAACAAGAAAAUGAAUAUCCUGCAUCACACUUGAUGCACACAAUCUCACAAUUCAAUCAUAAUCAUCUUAAGUAUCUUUUCAAGCACAAGCAAUGAAUAAGAUGAAUGAAAAAGAUUGAAAAGAGUUUUAAAAAUCUAAGGGAACUUCCCUUGUGUUUUUGUGAGUUUCCAAACUCUCUCAAUGCACCAUCUUCAUGGCAUCAUCAACUUCUUGGAAAGGCAGAGUGGAUUCAUCAGCUUCUCCUCAAUCACCUCUCAUUGAAGCUGCUUUGAUGGAGAGCCUUCUUCCUCACUUGCCAAGGCUGCUCUGAACAGCCUCUUGCCUAGACACGCCACUGACUUGGUCCGGUUGAUGAUCCUUGUAGAAGCUUUUGCAAAAGACUUGUUACUGACCAUGGAUCAUAUGCAUUAAGACUCCCCCUCAAGCUUAGAACCGAAACCAGAAGAAGCUAAGCUUGUGAUGAUCCUAUGCAUCUCCAUGGUCUAAUAACUAUCAUCUUUCAUGAUAGCUUUCUUCUUGUGAGUUUACUCUCUUCCUUAACCAGGAACUAGGGUGUUUGAAUCACCAUAGAGAGUCUCACAAGACACACCUCUCAUUGCAUAAUGACCCAUGCUACACUUCCUGUAGACUAAGGACUAGAUAUGUCCAAUGGUAUUAUGCAAUGGCUAUCUCUCAUUGCAUACUCAAUCACACUACACUUCCUGUAGAUUAUGGACUAACAUGUCCUAGUGAUGAUAUGCAAUGGCACAAGACCUUUGUCUCUACAUUCUUGGUUGAUGGCGAGUUACAUGUAUCACUUCCCUUGUGUACCUAACACCACCAAAACUCAAUGCAAGAUCAGAUCAUCCCAUUGGGAUCAAACCAAGAUCAUCCAUCCUGUUUGAUCACCAAUGCCACAAUAAUAUAUGAUACUUGAAACAAGCUAGACAAUCAAGACAAUCUAGCAAAGACAAUCAAUUCAGUUUUUUUUAAAUGCAACAAUAGAUGAAUGCAUUCUAGCAAAGACAAUCAAUUCAGUUUUUUUUAAAUGCAACAAUAGAUGAAUGCAUUAGGUUACACUAACUAUAUGAAUGAAACAGAUUCAAUCCAAAAUGGAACACAAGUCUAGAUGAUACUUCUGCAAUUAAGGCGACAAGAGUGACACAAUUCAUGCAUAUGCUUACUAGUUUUAUCAAGGCCAAUGAUUCAAGUAGCUUAGACAUACUUCUAAAUGCUUAUAAGACAUCACUGAUGGAUUUAACUAUGGCAUAGCAACAAUCAGAACUGGAUUGAGUCGAGACAAGCAGAUUUUUAACUAUGGCAUAGCAACAAGACAUACUUCUAAAUGCUUAUAAGACAUCACUGAUGGAUUUAACUAUGGCAUAGCAACAAUCAGAACUGGAUUGAGUCGAGACAAGCAGAUUUCAAUUUCUAACAAUGACAAUGCAAGUUCUAUACAGUUCUCUAAAUGCAAAGCUUAUAUCAGGUCAUUUGCAAUUUAGGCUCAUUUUUAAAUGCAUUACUACAUGAAUGCACAAUCUUAAAGAAUUAGCUAUAUGAAUGCAACGGGUUCAAUCCAUGAGUAAUAUUAAAGCUCUGCACAACAGUUUCAAUCAGAACCAAUGAUGCAAGCAACUUAGACAAUUUCUAAUUGAUGCAAGACUUUCAUUGAUGGAUUAAACAUAGGCAAUAACAUCAGAUAACACUAGGAUUGAACUUAGACAGUAUGAGAUAUGCUUAUGUAUGCAAAAGAACUUAUCAAUCAUGAUGCAAGCAGCAGAGACAUUCUACUCAAUUCUACAACACAUCCAUGAUGAUUCAAGCUAUGACAACACUCAAGACAAUGCAAUAAACAAAACAUGAGAUUCUGGGACUCUAGACACCACUCACAGCAUAAUAAAUAAAGACACAAGCUCUUAUUAAGGGUUAAGAGGUUUGCUUACAAACAAGAGAUCCGAGCUGAUCUCUUGAACCUCCAUGGGCACGGUUCACUUGAACUUGGCAUGAACUUGAUACUUGGAUUCAGUAUCCAACACCUUUCCUUGGUGUGCCCAUCCCUCUUGCAAUGCUCACUCUCCAAUGCUUCACUCUUCGGCUGGAUCACUCCAUGAUCAGCUUGCAAUGGUCUUGGUUUACAUUGCAUCACCCUCCUGGUGAUGCUCUUUCUUUGCAUGUCGACUGUCCUCUCUACACUCAUCUGAUGCGUAGGCUAUGGUGACUAAACCACCAUGGACAGAACCAUAAGUCAUCUCUCCAUUGUCACAACAUCCUCUCUACCCUCUUUGGAGCAGGCUGUGGACUUCCCACAGAAUGUUGGCAACAGGCUUCAUUUUACCAUUCUAUUGUAUGAUAAGGAUGAACUUCAAGACCAGGAGCACAUCACCCUAACAGCUGCGCUUAAAUCACUGAUCCAUCCUUUUGCUUUAAGCUUCAAGUACUCUCAGAUCACCGGCCUUCCUCAUGGCAUAGGUGGUGACCUUCUUCUUCUUGUGUGCCUUGAACCAGGAGCUCAACAACCUCGUGGCCUGCGCUUCUUAAACCGGCUUCUACACACAAGAACCUUCCCAUUGCUCCACACAAUGGUUGGUCUUCCGCUUGUAUGUCUUGAACCAGGAGCUCAACAACCUCGUGGCCUGCGCUUCUUAAACCGGCUUCUACACACAAGAACCUUCCCAUUGCUCCACACAAUGGUUGGUCUUCCGCUUGUAUGUCUUGAACCAGGAGCUCAACAACCUCGUGGCCUGCGCUUCUUAAACCAGCUUCUACACACAAGUAUCUUCCCAUUGCUCCACACAAUGGUUCAAGUCUUCCUCUUUUCUUGGAUAGGUGGUGAGCAGAGAACACUUCUUGUGAACCUGAAACACCACUCAAACUCCAGCAAGGAUAAGACACAAGAGUAUUGGGAUCAAUCCUUGAUUAAUCAUCAGGUUUGAUUCCCAAUCUCACAAGCAAUGCAACAGAUAGACACAAGGCAUUAUCAAGUUCUAUUCUUUGCAAGCUAGCUCUCUAAGAACAAGCAAGAUCCUAACAGAUUCAAGACAAGUUACUUAGGCACUUUUAAAAACUUCUUUACUCAGCACUUUAGACAUGAAUCUAAUGCUUCAAUGUAAGAUAGCCACAAGACAAUAUGCAACAGCUUUAAAUUCAGUUUCAAUCCAUGUAUGCAAGCAGAUUCAGUUAAUCACUCUAAGCAUCACUAUGAAACGAAGCUAAGCAUAUUAAUCACAUUCAGUCACCAAACAAAGCUCUUAAAGUAUCCUGGGACAGAUUCUAAACAUUUUAAUUUAUCAAUCUUUAACAGUCCUCAGGUUUUCAAUCACAUCACACAUUACAACCAGUCAACAACACAAGCUCAUUAUCAAGAGGGUUUUAAAAUCGCUUACACAAGGAACCAGGUUGGUUCCUUAAACCUCCAAGGGGACUGGCCAUGGCUUUUGUUGAAUCUGAGAGUCUGGAUAGUCACCCACCUUCUACUCCUUCAGUUCAUGACCACCUUCUUGUUUCUCCAGCUCAAAGACUCCUCCUUUCUCCAAGUCUUCUAGGCGCCAUCACCUUGACAGCUUUCAUGAUGAACCGGGUGAAGAAAGCUCUUGGAGGAGGCGCCUUGGAUGAGGUUCGUGAGUCCUCUCCAUACACUUCUUCUUCCAAUGAGUCUCUCCAUCAGUAUAGACAGGAGAAAGGAUGAGAGACACGCCCUUCAGUCUUCUUCUCAUGGAGAAACUGAACUCGGAUGGGAAUGUCUUCAAGGAUUGGAUUUGAGCUGAGGGUAGAGCUUGUGUUGUGCGGAAGCUACAGCUCAGGUUCUGAUGAACCUGGCUCUGAUACCAUAUGAUUUUUAAAGAGAUCUCUACUCUGGUAGUAUGUGUGUGUGUAUAAGCUUCAAUGAAGAAUGAUUAGAGCUUGUUCUAGGUGAUUUAGGAAGAGAGAUUUGUGAGAGUGUAUAAGAGACUUAAGAACAGAGAGAUUAAGAGACUUAAGAGACUAGAGAGACUGAGAGAAUAAGAGACUGAAGAUUAGUGUUUCAGAUUAGAGAAGGAGAGGGGAAACCCCCUAACUCACUUGAGAGUUACAAAACAUCACUUAUGAGCUUAUAUAUGCUCUUUACAACUUGCAAUCAUAAACCUAAAUCUAAGGGCUGUUAUAACUUGAACUUAAAUGAAUGGAUGAGAUGGACAGAUGGUCUUGGUCGUGGCUGUGCUGUUCCUGAUGGAUAAUUGGUCCAUUUGAAUCUGGUCAAGGGAAGGCUGGCUCCUUAUUGGCUAGCUAAAGGCUCCCAUGAAUCUGCCCACUUCUUUUGCUAGAUACAUGGUCUCCUUUUAGAAGUCUAGAAGAGUCAUGAAGGCUGUACAAAGAUAGUGUUUAAGUCCAGGAGGGACUUAGACACCAUUUGGAGAUAGUUGGGUGAUGGUGCAAAGAUAGGGCGUCCCGAGGUUCAGACGGUAUGAACCGACCGUGCAAAGUUAGGGCGACCCAAAACAUGAUCUGGUUCAUCUAUUGAAGAAGAUUGGUGAAGUUGUGCAAAUAUAGGGCGAGGUACGGACAUCAGGUCCGUACCAUCAACCGUACGGAUGAGCAGGCCGUACCACUUUACCCGGAUUGACCCGAAAUGGAGAUGUGCAAACUUAGGGAGCAAGGAGGAGUUAUCUGAGCUUGUGACUGUUGGGAAUGGAUAAGAGAGGAGCUGGGCGUGACCUGUUGCUAGCUGGAAAGUAGCUAGUCAAAAGGUAAAGCACCUUUUGACCAUGGAACACACAAGACUCCAUCUUAUCCAUCCAUUUCAAACAUGGGCAAUCUGAACCAUCCAAGCUUCUCUUACCAGAUUCCUUUAGCCAAUCAGAGACCAUCACCAAGAUUGUGAAGACCAGAUCCAAGACUACAUCCUAGCCAUUCAUUCUCAAGUCAUUUUUAGCCAUUAGAUUAAGGGUUUAUGAUUGCAAACUUGUAAAGCCUAUAUAAAGGCUAUGUGUGGACGUUUUUGUAACCCUUAAGUGAGUAAGGGGGUUUCCCUUCUCCUUCUCUAAUCUGAAACACUUUCUUAGUCUCUCUAGUCUCUCAUCCUGAAUCUCUAUACACGUUCUCAGUCUUGUUACUAAUCUCUUAAACACUUAGACACACAAACACUCAUCAAACUUCCUUUCUCUCAAAUCGCUUCCAAGCUCUCUCUCUUUACCCAUUUGGGUUUCAUACACACAUACAACCUGAGUACUCUUAAAUCUCAUAGUUCUUAUCUAUGCAAGCAACCAUUCUCUAAAUACUAAGCAAGACCUUAUCAGAUUCAAGUCAAAGUAUUUAGGCAAUUUUAAUCACUCCUUAAUAUGCAACUUAGACUUUAAUCUAAAUGCAACAAUCCAAAGCAGCAACAAGGCAGUAUGCAUUAAUCUUAACAGUUUCUAACACAUGAAAGCAAGAAUGAUUAGAUAUAAUCUAUCAUCUUAACAAGACAAGUUAAUUUAGAGCUGUCAUUAAGCAUUUACCAUUUUCAAUAGUAUUGAUGUCAAAACUUGAUUAAUAAAUCAUCAAGUUUGAUUCCCAAUAACACAAGCAAUGCAACAGAUAGACACAAGGCAUUAUCAAGUUCUAUUCUUUGCAAGCUAGCUCUCUAAGAACAAUCAAGAUCCUAACAGAUUCAAGACAAGUUACUUAGGCAUUUUUAAAAGCUUCUUUACUCAGCAAUUUAGACAUGAAUCUAAUGCCUCAAUGGAAGACAGCCACAAGACUAUAUGCAACAGCUUUCAAUUCCGUUUCAAUCCAUGUAUGCAAGCAGAUUCAAUUAAUCACAACAAGCAUCACUAUGAUUCGGAGCUAAGCAUAUUAACAAUCUUAAUCACCAAACCAGGCUCUUUAAGCAUACUGAGACAGAUUCUAAAAGUAUUCAUUUAGCAAUCUUUAAACAAUUCUCAGGUUUUCAAUCACAUCACAACCAGUCAAUAUACUCAAGCUUUAUACAAGAGAAAGAGGUUUCUUACAGCCAAGGAACUAGUGUUAGUUCCUUGAAACUCCAUAGAACAUGGCAAGACAGUGAGCUGUUGGUGUCGAUUCCAACUUCUCCUUCUCCCAUGGACCUUUCUCUUGAACUCUCCAUGUCAAAGACCCCACCUUUCUUCAUGUUAAGUUCGCCACAUCAGUACCAGCUGAAAGCUAUCACCUUUCUUCUUGGACAGUGGAUAAGACCUAGCUUGGACAUAGCUUUGAAGCUUGGUUGAUGAGAUCGCCUCAUACACCAUUGCUUCCAAGGUUCUUUCUUCUUCAUGGGCUUCAUGAGAGAGUGUAGGUCGGCCAGAGACAGCUUCUGGACACCAUGGAUGAGCACACCUUCUUCUUGAAGAGUAGAACAACCGGC
rnacentral:lncRNA from 1 species